UGGAUGGGGAAGGAUGAGAGGGAUGCGUGUUUGUGUGUGUGCUUGGGGUGAGGCGGCAAACUGGUUUUAGAACUCCUCUUAGAUUAUUUAGGCUAACCCAAAUUGAGAAAGAAAAAAAUAUUUAGAAAAUAAUAUAACCAGUUUAAAUGUCAUCUAGAUCUUGGCGAAUAUGGAUUUUUCUCAGAUUCACUUGGCGUUCUGGGAGAAAUAAAAGAAGGCUUGCAGCUACCAGAAAGUCAUUAAGGCAUUAGUUUCUCUAAGAAGACAGAUCUGAAGAAAAUGGAAGAAAGUGAGAAAAAAUAAAAACAAGGGUAAAGAAGUCUUCUUCCGCUUUGCAGUGCAUAACUCAUACAACAUACAUCACUCAUACUGGAGGCAAAAAAAAAUUUUCUGUUAAGAUCUAUUUACUUUUCCAAUGCUUUUUCCUAAUCAAGAGCUGAGAACUUAAUUUCAGUAUCCCUAUAGCUGCAGGUAGAAAGACACAAACCAAACUAGAUAAUCUAACCACAUUUUAAAUUGCAGUAAAGAGGUCAGAAUAUUUUGCACACGUGCAGGAGUUUGCAGUCACAAAAAGUUUUGCGAUAUGAACCAUGAUUGAAAAUGAACUAUGGAAAACAUAUAUCAAAAGGAAAAAAAACCACUUAAAAUAGAAUUGACAUAGAAAAGAAAGCUUUAGUUGUUCCAAAUUAAUA